UACGUAGGGGGCAAGCGUUGUCCGGAUUCAUUGGGCGUAAAGAGCGUGUAGGCGGCCAGGUAGGUCGGUUGUGAAAACUGGAGGCUCAACCUUCAGACGUCGACCGAAAACCAUCUGGCUAGAGUCCGGGAGAGGAGAGUGGAAUUCCUGGUGUAGCGGUGAAAUGACGCAGAUAUCAGGAAGAACACCAAUGGCGAAAGGC
rnacentral:rRNA from 1 species